rnacentral:misc_RNA from 1 species
AACGCACAUUGCGCCCCUUGGUAUUCCGAGGGGCAUGCCUGUUCGAGCGUCAUUACAACCCUCAAGCACAGCUUGGUCUUGGGCUCCGCCGCUAACCCGGCGGGCUUUAAAAUCAGUGGCGGUGCCGUCGAGGCCCUGAGCGUAGUAAACAUCCUCGCUAUAGGGACCCGAUGGACACUAGCCAUCAACCCCAACUUUCUAAGUUUGACCUCGGAUCAGGUAGGGAUACCCGCUGAACUUAA